rnacentral:rRNA from 1 species
GCUUAGGCAAAUCCGGGCGCGGAAUUCAAGGGACUGGGACGAGGCAUUUAGGUGCUGAAGCAAUCGGAAGUGGUUCCAAGAAAAGCCUCUAAGCUUCAGUCAUACGAGACCGUACCGCAAACCGACACAGGUGGGCGAGAUGAGUAUUCUAAGGCGCUUGAGAGAACUCGGGAGAAGGAACUCGGCAAAUUGGUACCGUAACUUCGGGAAAAGGUACGCCCUUGUAGCUUGGCUGAUUUACUUCAGUAGGGCGAACGGGUUGCAAUAAACUGGUGGCUGCGACUGUUUAAUAAAAACACAGCACUCUGCAAACACGAAAGUGGACGUAUAGGGUGUGACGCCUGCCCGGUGCUGGAAGAUUAAAUGAUGGGGUGCAAGCUCUUGAUUGAAGUCCCAGUAAACGGCGGCCGUAACGAUAACGGUCCUAAGGUAGCGAAAUUCCUUGUCGGGUAAGUUCCGACCUGCACGAAUGGCGUAACGAUGGCCACACUGUCUCCUCCCGAGACUCAGCGAAGUUGAAGUGUUUGUGAUGAUGCAGUCUACCCGCGGCUAGACGGAGAGACCCCAUGAACCUUUACUGUAGCUUUGCAUUGGACUUUGAAUCAAUCUGUGUAGGAUAGGUGGGAGGCUUUGAAGCGGGGACGCCAGUUCCCGUGGAGCCAACCUUGAAAUACCACCCUGGUUCAUUUGAGGUUCUAACCUUGGCCCGUUAUCCGGGUCGGGGACAGUGCAUGGUAGGCAGUUUGACUGGGGCGGUCUCCUCCUAAAGUGUAACGGAGGAGUUCGAAGGUACGCUAGGUACGGUCGGACAUCGUGCUAAUAGUGCAAUGGCAUAAGCGUGCUUAACUGCGAGACUGACAAGUCGAGCAGGUACGAAAGUAGGACAUAGUGAUCCGGUGGUUCUGUAUGGAAGGGCCAUCGCUCAACGGAUAAAAGGUACUCUGGGGAUAACAGGCUGAUUCCUCCCAAGAGUUCAUAUCGACGGGGGAGUUUGGCACCUCGAUGUCGGCUCAUCACAUCCUGGGGCUGUAGCCGGUCCCAAGGGUAUGGCUGUUCGCCAUUUAAAGUGGUACGUGAGCUGGGUUUAAAACGUCGUGAGACAGUUUGGUCCCUAUCUGCCGUGGGCGUUGGAAAUUUGAAGGGGGCUGCUCCUAGUACGAGAGGACCGGAGUGGACAGACCUCUGGUGUACCAGUUGUCACGCCAGUGGCAUUGCCGGGUAGCUAAGUCUGGAAGAGAUAACCGCUGUAAGCAUCUAAGCGGGAAACUUGCCUUAAGAUGAGAUUUCCCAGAGCCUUGAGCUCUUUGAAGGGUCGUUCGAGACCAGGACGUUGAUAGGUCAGGUGUGGAAGUGAAAAAA